rnacentral:rRNA from 1 species
AUUGAACGCUGGCGGCAGGCCUAACACAUGCAAGUCGAACGAGUGGCGGACGGGUGAGUAAUGUCUGGGAAACUGCCCGAUGGAGGGGGAUAACUACUGGAAACGGUAGCUAAUACCGCAUACCAUCGGAUGUGCCCAGAUGGGAUUAGCUAGUAGGUGGGGUAAAGGCUCACCUAGGCGACGAUCCCUAGCUGGUCUGAGAGGAUGACAAGCCACACGGGAACUGGGACACGGUCCGAACCCCGAGGGGAGGCAGCAGUGGGGAAUAUGGCACAAUGGGCGCAAGCCUGAGGCGGCCAUGCGGGGGGUAUGAAGAAGGCCUUCGGGUUGUAAAGUACUUUCAGCGGGGAGGCGUUACCGGCAGAGGAAGCACCGGCUAACUCCGUGCCAGCAGCCGCGGAAUUC